rnacentral:rRNA from 1 species
GCUGAAUGUGGGGAUUUUUUAUCUCUGUGUUGUAGCUAACGCGUUAAGCACUCCGCCUGGGGACUACGGUCGCAAGACUAAAACUCAAAGGAAUUGACGGGGACCCGCACAAGCGGUGGAGCAUGUGGUUUAAUUCGAUGCAACGCGAAAAACCUUACCACUCCUUGACAUGGAGAUUAGAUCCUUCUUAACGGAAGGGCGCAGUUCGGCUGGAUCUCGCACAGGUGCUGCAUGGCUGUCGUCAGCUCGUGUCGUGAGAUGUUGGGUUAAGUCCCGCAACGAGCGUAACCCUCAUCCUUAGUUGCCAGCGGAUUAAGCCGGGCACUUUAAGGAAACUGCCAGUGGUAAACUGGAGGAAGGUGGGGAUGAUGUCAAGUCAGCACGGCCCUUAUGGGGUGGGCUACACACGUGCUACAAUGGUGACUACAAUAGGUUGCAAUGUCGCAAGGCUGAGCUAAUCCGUAAAAGUCAUCUCAGUUCGGAUUGUCCUCUGCAACUCGAGGGCAUGAAGUCGGAAUCGCUAGUAAUCGUGGAUCAGCAUGCCACGGUGAAUACGUUCUCGGGUCUUGUACACACUGCCCGUCACGCCAUGGGAAUUGGCUUAACUCGAAGCUGGUGCGCCAACCGAAAGGAGGCAGCCAU